rnacentral:lncRNA from 1 species
GCCGGCGACGCGAUUACGAAACCCAGGGGCUGAGAGCCGAGCGCAGCGCUCCGCCCAGCUUCGGGGCGCACGACGUGGCCCGCGGGAACAGCGGCAAGCACUACGCUAUGGGACACCCGCGGCACCCCAGGUGUCUGCGCUAGGGGAGACCCAGCGGCCGAUCCCGUCACAGACGAGGGAGAAGGCGUGAGGAGACAAAGCCGUCACAUCUCCGACAGCUUCCUUCAGCAGCCUCCUCUCCAGUCCAGAGCCGACCCCCGAGCCCCUGAGGCAUUCCUUCCGUCUUCGGAACAACCCUAGUCAUUCAUUGCUAACAGGGAAUCAUGCGGGACCCUGUGAGUAGCCAGUACAGCUCCUUUCUUUUCUGGAGGAUGCCCAUCCCAGAACUGGAUCUGUCGGAGCUGGAAGGCCUGGGCCUGUCAGAUUCACCUACCUACAAGAGCAAGGAGAGCAACAGCAUUGGCAAAAUGGGUGGGCAGGCAACCGGAGCUGAGCGGAAGAGCCCUGAAGGCGACCCCCUCCUUGAGUAUAGCACCUUCAACUUCUGGAGAGCCCCUAUUGCCAGCAUCCGCUCGAUCGACCUGGACUUGCUCUAAGUCGAGACCUCUCUCUCCCACCCGCCCCAUACCCUCCUUGUCCUCCCCCUUAAGUCCCUUCCUCUCUCAGCCUUCCACUUUAAUCUUGUUCUCUUCCCUCUAUUGUGCGGUGGUGCUGAUGAAUCUGCCAAUCGAAUUGUAUGU